rnacentral:rRNA from 1 species
GGACGAACGCUGGCGGCGUGCCUAACACAUGCAAGUCGAACGGACUGAUUCCCUCGGGAUGAAGUUAGUGGCGGACGGGUGAGUAACGCGUGAGCAACCUGCCUUUCAGAGGGGAAUAACGUUUGGAAACAGACGCUAAUACCGCAUAACGCAUAGGUGUCGCAUGGCAUUUAUGCCAAAGGAGCAAUCCGCUGAAAGAUGGGCUCGCGUCCGAUUAGAUAGUUGGUGGGGUAACGGCCUACCAAGUCGACGAUCGGUAGCCGGACUGAGAGGUUGAACGGCCACAUUGGGACUGAGACACGGCCCAGACUCCUACGGGAGGCAGCAGUGGGGGAUAUUGCACAAUGGGCGGAAGCCUGAUGCAGCAACGCCGCGUGAGGGAAGACGGUUUUCGGAUUGUAAACCUCUGUCUUUGGUGACGAAGAAAUGACGGUAGCCGAGGAGGAAGCCACGGCUAACUACGUGCCAGCCGCGGC